rnacentral:lncRNA from 1 species
GCCAAUUUGUAAAUUACUUUACAUAUCAUAUACGGUACUUACUAUUCUGAGGGCUGGUGAACACCCUGUCAAUGGUUUGGUGCUCAGUGCCCGAGAUCAUCCCGGGUUUUUGGUUGGGUUGGUGUUUAGUGCCUGAGAUCAUCCCUGGUUUUUGGUUGGGUUGGUGCUCAUUGGCUGAGAUCAUCCCUGGUCUUUGGUUGGUGAUGUACAAUUUUGUUUUCAGUGUAUUUUUUUGUAGACUAUUUCUUUUGGUUAUAUGUUGUCCUUUUUAACCCAUGGUUUAAAAUAGUUGGAUACUUAGUUUCUUCAUUUUUAUGUCUCUGUUGAUCAUUAUACCCGGCUGUUUGAAUAUGGAGGAAAAUUGUGAAAGUACUAUUAGAAAUAAGCCAUUCCCAGAUGUCUAGGACAUGGAUACCUUCUACUUGUGUGCUGCUCAUGGCAAAAAGAUGGAAAAAAAGAUGUUCAUGUGUAAAAUUUUGUGAGGAAGAUUAUAUUUUGUGUUCUAAGGAUUACACCAGGUACCAAUGAUUUCUCACUCAAAAGAUUUCUGUUCCCAUCAUGUAGUUGGCUACUAAACAUGAGGUAUUCGGGUAUUGUAGUUGAUUUUUCAGUGUGUUUUAUCCCAUUGACAUUAAUA